UUCCAGCUAGUCUAGUUAGUUAGCAUGUCCUGGGGAUCAGGUCUCUGCCUCUGGAGUGCUGAAAUCACAGGUCGAGACCUGCCAGGCUUUUAUGUGGGUUUGGGG
rnacentral:miRNA from 1 species